UUGCUGUACACGAAGCGACGCAUAUCGAACGCUCAAAUGCCGUCCUAUGACGUAAUCAAUAUGAUAACGGCCAUAUAACCCCCGACGCCAUACUUACGGCUAAAUUCAAAGAAGUCACACAUGAGAUUAUAUAUAUUUGAAAUCGAUUAUGUGAAGGAGUGGUACCGCCUCAGAUGGGCCUGCAAGAAACCAUACCGCUAUAAAAAUAUACCAUAACAUAAGGCUUGAGAACUCAUAAAAAAUUCUUCAAACAACAAAAGAAAAACAAUGUUUAUAAGAAACCAUAGAAAAAUAAGAAAUUAAAGGUUAAAUUAUUCUUUUACCUAAUGAUAUAACAGUUAAUUACAGAAAAUAAAACUGUUAACAGGGAAACAAAAUAAAAACCAAGAUACCGUCGGUUCCACGUGUCGGCGUCUAAUCUUUGACAUUGAAAAGGACAAUGACCAUACGCAAGGUGUCUGAAACUAUGUGUAAUAAAUGACUUUUUUUAUUAUUUGCUAAUAGUGUUGCAUUGUGUCCAUUAUAAUUCUCUCGGAUAGUUCUAUUUUUAAUGUUGCCAGUGGGAAAAAAUAUAAAAUGAACCGAA